rnacentral:rRNA from 1 species
CGGACGGGUGAGUAAUGUCUGGGAAACUGCCCGAUGGAGGGGGAUAACUACUGGAAACGGUAGCUAAUACCGCAUAACGUCGCAAGACCAAAGAGGGGGACCUUCGGGCCUCUUGCCAUCGGAUGUGCCCAGAUGGGAUUAGCUAGUAGGUGGGGUAACGGCUCACCUAGGCGACGAUCCCUAGCUGGUCUGAGAGGAUGACCAGCCACACUGGAACUGAGACACGGUCCCAG